ensembl:lncRNA
GAGGAAGUGCUCAUGCUAAAGCAAGCUUGUCGUGACCAACGUGAACCAGUGGAUGAAGGAGCAAAGGCACACUAAUGAGAAACUGGCACUCAAGAUCAAAGACCAGAGCAGGAAGAUCAUCCACCUGACAGCUGAGAGAGAUGAAGAAAGAGGCAGAGGAAGAAGAAAGCACUUCCUGACCACCUGCAGUGCAAGUCUGUGCCAGUCAGCGCCUGUGUCUGGAUCGAAGUCAAUGACUACAGAACGGUUUUCUGCAAACCAGCUGUCUCUUGGAUCACUGACACGAAGAGUUCUAGAAAAACAUGAUUAUCAAAUGAUGGCUGAUAAUUGACCUUACUACAGAUAAAUGACUGACAGCCCAAAUAACAAAUCAAAUCAAUUCUCAGACUUUUGUCUGUCAAACAAAAGUCGCCUGCACUUAACCAACUAAUACUAGUACUUACCUUUUUUUCUUUUUCUUUUCUAUCAUAUACAAAAAAAAAAAAAAAAAAACCCUGGCUACGUGUUCUGUACUAGACUAACUGAGACUUGUCAUAGCACUUGUAUACCGUUGUUGUUUUCUCGUUGAUCUGAUUGUUUCUACUGUUCUCAUUUGUAAGUCGCUUUGGAUAAAAGUGUCUGCUAAAUGAUUAAAUGUAAAUGUAAAUGUAAACUGACUGAAUUGUAGAUUGCAUGAACAACUAAACUUCUGAAUGAUUGUCCAAAAGCGAAACAUCUCUAUGUUUGCUCAAAGGAAUAGUAGAAUAUAGAUUUUCAAGGUUAAAGGCAGGUGCACAGACCCCAAGUAGAUCAUGCAUGUGAAUUUUGAUCUUUCUGUUGUUAAUGCCAUGCUAUACUGUCUGAGCUUCAGGAAAGCACAUAAAAAAUCUAUCUUUAAAAUUUGGAAAAAAAAUAUUUAAAACAAUGUUUAUAAUAUUCACAUUUUGUAAAAAGCAGAUGUUUUAAAAAUAUGUUAUGAGUUUUUUUUUUGUUGUUGUUUUGUUUUGUUUUAUCAUAUGUUCUCAUGUUUACUUUUUUGUAAUGUGUGAAAAGUAUUAAUGUUAAAGGUUUACUAUUUAUCCCUGAUUUUUUCUCAGAGUGUGAUUUUGGGUUAAUUGUAUUGAUUUAAUUUAGGAUCAAUUGACUCAGAACGUAAUUAUAUCCAGAAUUUUAACAUUAUACAAGUGAUAAAUAGCACUUGUUGUUCUUAAGGACAUUUACAUUCAUAGAAAAACACACACAAAAUGCAUUUGUCCUGUUUGCAUCUGCAGAAAGCGUCCAUUACAUAAUUUUCCUGUUUAUUAAUGUCAAUAUGUAUGACAACAACUGUCUGACUUCUUUACACUUGGCUAGAUUUUCCCUGGUAAUGUCACUAUUUUCUCAUCUUCUACCAUUAUAUUUAGUAUUUCGGCAUAAUAACCUGGAACAAAACCCUGUGCUUUCUGUUUUUUCUGCACAAUGAUUUGAGGUAUUUUAUUCCAAAGUCAUCAGGUACAUCAUUCGCAUGUACAUCACCUGUUUGAGAAGCAGCGGCAGUGGUUAAGUUAUUGCUGUCGUAAGGUCAGUUGGGUCACUAUACCUUGUUGAUACAGCUUAAACCAGUCUAAGAUGGUUUGCAUGGUCUAAGUUGAUUUGUGAUUAUCUCUCAGCCUGACCAGAUUGCAUGAACAACUAAACUUCUGAAUUAUUGUCCAAAAGCUAAACAUCUCUGUUUGCUCAAAGGAAUAGUAGAAUAUAGAUUUUCAAGGUUAAAGGCAGGUGCAGGUCAACUGGUCUUUUCAAGCCUGACCAGCCAAAAAAUAGCUAAAACCAGACUAGAAGACCAGUUAAGACUUUCUUGGUCAAGCAGCUUCACCGGCACUAGAGCAACAAAGAGCAUAAACAAACCUGAACCAGCAUGAGAAUUCAUGACUAAACUGAAGUAUUUAUCUGGAUACUCGUCUUAGAAAUGAUGAGAUCUCAUAUGUUGAUGAGACCUGAUUAUUUUCUGAAUAGCUCUGCACUAAGUAUCUGAUGCCCCUCGUGUUCAUUUAUAUACAGACAUCAGCUGCUGAUUUAUUUUUCUCUUUCAAAUUAAAUUUGCUGACAUGCAAUACUUCAUAUUUAAUGAACAUUCCGCUGUGAAUUUUGUGCCUAGUUACAUUUCAAGUUUACGGAGAUGAAUGAGAGUGUGAAUUCUAAUGGCAGGUAAAGUUUCAAUUCUGCUUCUGUCAUAGAUUGUGGUUUAGAAAAGUUAAAGGUAAGGCUUGUAUUUGUUUAUGAAUCAAUCAUAUAAUAAUGCCUCAUAUGACUGAUAGCCUAAUAUAAAACAUUUUAAUGGAUUUUACAUUGAAGGCAAUAUAAGUGACGUGUCAUAUCAGUCAGCCAGCAACAUUAAUAGCACUUUUAAAUGAUUAAAUAAUGCUGUGCCUUAUUCACUGUCAUCAUGCAUUUCCUAUAAACACAAAUCAGUCAAUAAAAGUGAUAUAUGUUUGUAUUUGGCA